UACAGAGGGGGCAAGCGUUGUUCGGAAUUACUGGGCGUAAAGGGCGCGUAGGCGGCCUCUUAAGUCGAACGUGAAAUCCCCGGGCUCAACCCGGGAACUGCGUCCGAUACUGGGAGGCUUGAAUCCGGGAGAGGGAUGUGGAAUUCCAGGUGUAGCGGUGAAAUGCGUAGAUAUCGAGAGGAACACCUGCGGCGAAGGCGGGUUGCUGGGCUGACACUGACGCUGAUGCGCGAAAGCUAGGGGAGCGAACGGG
rnacentral:rRNA from 1 species